rnacentral:tRNA from 1 species
ACCUGCAUGUGGCCUAAUGGAUAAGGUGUCUGAUUUCAGAUCAGAAGAUUGAGGGUUCGAGUCCCUUUGUGGUUG